rnacentral:rRNA from 1 species
GAUGAACGCUGGCGGCGUGCUUAACACAUGCAAGUCGAACGGAAAGGCCCUGCUUUUGUGGGGUGCUCGAGUGGCGAACGGGUGAGUAACACGUGUGUAACCUGCCCUUGACUUUGGGAUAACUUCAGGAAACUGGGGCUAAUACCGGAUAGGAGCUCCUGCUGCAUGGUGGGGGUUGGAAAGUUUCGGCGGUUGGGGAUGGACUCGCGGCUUAUCAGCUUGUUGGUGGGGUAGUGGCUUACCAAGGCUUUGACGGGUAGCCGGCCUGAGAGGGUGACCGGCCACAAUACGACUGAGAGACGGACCAGUCUGCUACGGGAGGCAGCAGUGGGGAGUAUGACACAAUGGGCGGGAGCCUGAUGCAGCAGCGCCGCGUGCGGGAAGACGGCCUUCGGGUUGUAAACCGCUUUCGCCUGAGACGAAGCGUGAGUGACGGUAAUGGAUAAAGAAGCACCGGCUAACUACGUG